UACAGAGACUGCAAGCGUUAUUCGGAUUCACUGGGCGUAAAGGGUGCGCAGGCGGUUGGGUGUGUCAGAUGUGAAAUCCCGAGGCUCAACCUCGGAACUGCGUCUGAAACUACUCGACUAGAGUAUUGGAGAGGGUAGCGGAAUUCACGGUGUAGCAGUGAAAUGCGUAGAUAUCGUGAGGAACACCAGAGGCGAAGGCGGCUACCUGGACAAUUACUGACGCUCAGGCACGAAAGCGUGGGGAG
rnacentral:rRNA from 1 species